CCCGUGCAAGUCUAGCUCGCGGCGGCCGUUGCAGUGCAGUCCGAGGGAAGGUGCACCUGCCGGGCCUCCUGACUGACCCUCCUGGCAGUUCUGCGGACCCUCCUUGGAUGGGAUAGUUGGGGCUGCUCUGUUUUCAGUGGCUCCUCCGGACAUGUGUCUCUUCUCCUGUCUGUACCAGUUGUACCUAGAAGGAAGAGAAAAGAGAAAAGCUGGCAGAGGCAGCAGAAAGAAGGCAGAAGGAGGCGGCGUCUCGGGGGAUUUUGGACAUCCAGUCAGUGGAGGCAAAGAAGAAGAAGAAAGAACAGUUAGAAAAGCAGAUGGAGACAUCGGGGCCACCAACGGCAGGGGGACUUAGAUGGACCGUGUCAUGAAGUGUAUCAUACCUGGAGGAAAAUCCUGCCAUCAACUCCAGCAACUGCAGUCAAUGGAUUCCGCUGAUGUCUCCUCUUUACAGAUACAGAGAGUCAGACUGUAUCAUUAGUGCCCUUUAGUACAAUCCUAAAACUAAAUAUACUAAAUACAAAAAUAUUGGUAAUA